CUCAUUCCUUCAGUGUUGAAACAAUCUCUAUGGAACCAGGCUCCAAACCAAGUUCACUGGAGUUUGUUUCAAUAUUGCAAGAAUGGUAAGAUUGAUGC
rnacentral:pre_miRNA from 10 species